UUCUCCUUUUCCUGAAUAGUAUCCUUGGGAAGCCAUGGGGUCAAGGUAUAUGCAUGCAUAUAUUUAAGACUUUUGAAGCACGGGCCCAUAUUGACUUUGAGAAGAGAUUUUAUAGGAUGGGAAAUUGAGAUUGCAACUAAACUGUAAGAGCCUGAAUACAGCUCCAGAGGUUUAUUCAGUUACUGACGGGAUUUUGAGGUCUCCA
rnacentral:lncRNA from 1 species